rnacentral:rRNA from 1 species
AACGAACGCUGGCGGCAGGCUUAACACAUGCAAGUCGAACGCAUCCUUCGGGGUGAGUGGCAGACGGGUGAGUAACGCGUGGGAACGUGCCCUUCAGUUCGGAAUAACCCAGGGAAACUUGGGCUAAUACCGGAUACGUGCGAGAGCAGAAAGAUUUAUCGCUGAAGGAUCGGCCCGCGUCUGAUUAGCUAGUUGGUGAGGUAAUGGCUCACCAAGGCGACGAUCAGUAGCUGGUCUGAGAGGAUGAUCAGCCACAUUGGGACUGAGACACGGCCCAAACUCCUACGGGAGGCAGCAGUGGGGAAUAUUGGACAAUGGGCGCAAGCCUGAUCCAGCCAUGCCGCGUGAGUGAUGACGGCCUUAGGGUUGUAAAGCUCUUUCGUCCGGGACGAUAAUGACGGUACCGGAAGAAGAAGCCCCGGCUAACUUCGUGCCAGCCGCCGCAGUAACAC